rnacentral:misc_RNA from 1 species
GAGAUUACAUAUGCAUAUAGUGUUAAUUCUAUAAAAAUGUAGUAUCAACUCACAAAGUUAUCAGGUUAAAUUAGCUUUAUCAAUGAAUAAAAAUGUUGUUGCAUGACCAAUGUCAUACCGUGGUCAAGCCACGGUAUCCAGUAAAAAUUAUUUUGCUGAGUAUCGUAGUAAAAGUUAAGAUAUGAUGUUAAGACUUUUUUUGAGUCGUGCAAUAACAUUAACAGCAAACUAUAAUACAAGUCUAUCUUUUUAAAAGUUUGUAUUGCUAGCU